UGCGCAGGCGGGCUUGUAAGUCAGUGGUGAAAUACUGCCGCUUAACGGUAGAACUGCCAUUGAUACUGCGAGUCUUGAAUAUGGUUGAGGUAGGCGGAAUGUGUUGUGUAGCGGUGAAAUGCAUAGAUAUGACACAGAACGCCGAUUGCGAAGGCAGCUUACUAAGCCAUUAUUGACGCUGAGGCACGAAGGCGUGGGGAGCGAACAGGAUUAGAUACCCUGGUAGUCC
rnacentral:rRNA from 1 species